AUACGUAGGGGGCUAGCGUUAUCCGGAAUUACUGGGCGAAAGGGGUGGGUAGGGGGUUUCUUAAUUCAGAAGGGAAAGGCAACGGCUCAACCGAGGAAAGCUUUUGAAACUAAGAGACUUGAGUGCAGGAGGGGGGAGUAGAUUUCUGAGUGAAGCGGUGAAAUGCGUAGAUAUUAGGAGGAAUACCAGUUGCGAAGGCGGCUCUCUGGACUGUAACUGACACUGAGGCACGAAAGCGUGGGGAGCAAACAGGAUUAGAUACCCUGGUAGUCCACGCCGUAAACGAUGAGUACUAGCUGUCGGGGGUUACCCCCCUCGGUGGCGCAGCUAACGCAUUAAGUACUCCGCCUGGGAAGUACGCUCGCAAGAGUGAAACUCAAAGGAAUUGGCGGGG
rnacentral:rRNA from 1 species